UUAGAGCUAAGCAUCUUGGCCGGCUGACAAGUGACCAGAGUCACAGGAAAGAGUCUGUGCCUAGGCAGCGGGGCGAACCGAUAUGAAUCCACAGUAGGGCGGGGCUAUGAAGAGUGCAGGGGUGAGAGGAUUUCUCUAGGAGGGACUGUGAACAUCCGAGUGGGUCUGAAGGCAGUGAGUACGCUGGUGAUACUUUGGCCUCCAUACCAUGUGGGUGAAAUGGAAAUAAAAAACAAGAAGGCCAUUAUAAACACAACAAGAUCACAAGAACUGGAAGAAAAAAUAAAA